GCCUGAUUAGUAUAAUGGUUAUAACGACUAUCUUGUAAAUAGUAGACCGAGGUUCGAUUCCUUGAUUGGGCACGA
rnacentral:tRNA from 1 species